UAAUUUUGAUUACGUAUGAGGCUGCGCCCUGGCCGACGGAUGAGCAGGGGUACCGAGCCUCCUCCAAGGACCACUUCUGACAGUGUACCGAACACCGGACUGAACACCGGACGACCGAACACUGGACUGAACUCGAGACACGAUCACUUCGCGAUGGCGAUGUGAAAAAGAGGGAACUUGCAAAAUUUUGUUGUCCCCAGUUGAAGGUGUUGCUCAAGGAGGGACUGGUUAUGGUUGAAAUAAUUGUGGUUUAAAAAGUUUGAAUCCCAUCAGCAGAUUUACUGCAUGCCAAGAACUGCAAAUGCUCGACAGCAAGAAAUGCCAAGAACUUUGGAGCCUUUGAAUCACCAUUCUCCCAUGCAAGAGAGGUGGACUUAUGUGUGUGCAUGGGGCCCUCCGAUCCCCAUCCAAACUGGCAUCUUGGCAUGCAUGGAACCGGACUCCAUGUAGUGAUGUGGAGAGUCUGGAAAGAGGGUGGCACAGGGUUCGUAUAUUGGGGUCCAAACUGUUAUGAGAAGUUAAUGGUGGCUAGUGCUGAGUGAUAAGAUUUCAAUGUGGCCUUCGCAAGUGAUGGAGUUUUAUUUUGUCCUGGUGAAAUUUUUUCCUCAUCACAUGAGCCGGUUGCUUCAGCCAGGCUAGAGUGAUUUCGCAGUGGCAUGCAGGACAUUGAGUACUUGAAGCUCUAUUCUUCAACAUGUGAUCAAAAAGAGGCUUUGGCUCUUCUGGAAAAGAGAGGUGUCUAUCUCGGCACCAAGCAUUACGCACUUGAUCACCCACCAAUUGAUGUAAUGCAAGCUGAGAUCUUCCAAACUUGCAGAUCCUAAAGAAGCAAGAGGCAUCAAAAUUCUCUUCAUUCUUCCUCCUCCUGGGCUUUUAUCGCCGUCACGUGUUUGAAGAAACCUAUCCCACAUGGCUUGUCAGGACAGCACAAGUUGAGAGAUCCAGACUGCUAUGUGAUCACACCUUGUGGUCCUGCUGCAAGUUCUAUGUUUGGUAUUUCAUCACAUUGGCUUUCGUCUGACUAACAGUGUAACUGCUGACAAGGCUGUGGAGUGGCAGAUGGUGAAAGUUCUCUCGCAUCCUGUGUCAAAACUGUUUGGUCUGUCUCAACUGGUGAGUCUGAUGGGUUGCAUUAUACCACACAAGCUUGUGUUCUCUGAAGUCAAAAGCACAGGGUCCCCACAUGUCUGUUUCUUAGAAAAUGUGGUUUCCUUUGGGCAUGAUCACUUUCCAUCAAAAUCUCAGACCACUCGUGUUUGAAACUACAUCCCUCAGUAGGACUCCAUUUGGAUUAAGUCAAGAUAUUUUCGGGCCAUCUUUAUAAGAAAAAUACUUGAUACACCUCAUACUAAAUAGGUAUGGGUUUGGGUUAUCAAAAUUGAGAACUUUGGUCUUUCUUAUGAAUGGUUGAAAGGAAUUAGGGGGUGAAUGGCUUGCCAAGGUGCUACAUGUUUUCGGCUUGGGGAACCGAUGGGUUGCAACCUUAGGUUGGUUGAAAUUUUUGCCCUAGUUAGGUAAAGUUUAGCAAGAUUGGGCUCUUGAAAGCGUGUGAAAAGGCUGCAAGUGGUUGUAUGUCGUCAAUGUACAGCCCUAUUAGAAGCGUGACUGCAAGGGUGGCUUGAAACCAACCACUUGUGCAAGUGAUGUUGUAGUUGUCAAUGUGCACCCUAGCGGAAAGCUGUCCAGUUGUUGAUAUCAAUGGCAA